CCCUUAGAUGUUCUGGGCUGCACGCGCGCUACACUGACGCACGCAACAGGUGCCUGCUCCGAGAGGACUGGGUAAUCAUUUGAGUGUGCGUCGUGAUGGGGAUAGAAUAUUGUAAUUAUUACUCUUCAACGAGGAAUUCCUAGUAAGCGCCAGUCAGCAGCUUGCGCUGAUUACGUCCCUGCCCUUUGUACACACCGCCCGUCGCUCCUACCGAUGGGUGAUCCGGUGAAUGAUUCGGACUUCAGCGACUCCCCUGGGGUGCGCCGGAGAAAGUUUUGUGAACCUUAUCACUUGGAGGAAGGAGAAGUCGUAACA
rnacentral:rRNA from 1 species